UUUCUUGCAACAUUUGCCAUUUUGGCCAGUCCUGCCAGACAUAACUGGAAGCUCCAGAAGGCUGCAUGGGACGAGAGAGGAGCCGUCUUACGACACCACGUACUAGUAAUACCCAGCUGCACCUUAUUCCUCAGAGCACAUUCUGAGCUAUGCAGAAGAGUCCCUGCAGUCUAAUGGCAGAAUGGAAUGAAAUGUCGGUUUCUGGCUGUGGCGCUGAUUCAACGAAGUAUUUAUAUAUUGCAGUCAGUGGAAUGAUUUGUGCUGAAAGUAAAACUAGAAGAAAUGCCUACUAAUCAUACGAAUGGAAAGUGUUUGCUAGAUGGCAACAUUUCAUAUGCAGUAACGAGACGGAAGUAAUGAGCUGAAGGAGAAGAAAGGAAUUUCAACAUAUCUCCAAAUUCUUCUUUGUGUGCGGGCACUGAAGGAUAAUUUAUACCACUGCAAGGCCCUUUUUACUGCAAGGAAGAGAGUUUCUGAAACUCCGGUCCAGCCAGAGGUCAUUUCUGGUAAGGUCAAAGAAGCCAAAGAAAGAAUAUUUUCCUUGGUGAAAAGCUGCAUAAGUAUAUGCUGGAUAAUUCUACUUGAACUUUUUUGGAAAGGUUUGUGAGGUGCAGGAACCAGAUACAAACAUGUAAAAGAAGAUAAACAGUUUUCUAAGCUGUAAGAACAAAGGAAAGUCACCCAGCUUCCUCAUCCUGUGGCAUUAAUAUGCUGGAAGGGCCCAGGAGAGCCACCAGCUGGACAGAAGAUGGAUGAGUUUAUUCUAUGCCUUACAAAAAUAGAUAAAAUGUUUAACGUCCUGAGUACUCCAGUUUUGACGGCAGGGCUUGGGCUACUGACAGAGGUUUUACCUCACCAUUUCCCAGCAUAUCUGGCCAGGAAGGAAGGCAGGAAUUAAAGCCCUGGGGAUUCUUUUUCUAUAUUGUUUUCACUUAACAAAGCGGGGAAAGGGAAAUGGAAAAUAAAGGGGAGAGAGAAAUUCCCAAAUUCAUACUUAUUAAGAAUAUAUUGUGAUUGUUCUUUAAUAAAAAACAUUCUGUUUAAACCCUAUACACAUUUGAUUCAUUAAAAUGAUUCAAAGUUGCAUAAAAGGUGUCAAAGCCAAAACUCUGGGGAAAAUAUGGAGAGAAAUGUUUGACUAGUCAUAAAAAGCAAUGGGUUUCCUCACUUCGUAAGUGAAUUUAGUGCAGGCAGAUAUGAGGUGCUAACCAUGCGGACUUGUACAGAACUGAGUAGUCUUCCCCUCUUUUAGAAAGACUUGUGAACAUUUAUCUUAACCAUGAUUUGCAACUAGAUAUGGCCAUGUUCCCAUUGGGAAUAAAUCCAUCAAACUUUUAUCCUUUGAUACCUUGAGAAGCAGAGCUAAGGCCUUAAGAGGUGCAAGGCUGGUGUACCUCUCAUUAAGGCACCACACUAACAAUCUUCAAACUAGUCAUUCACUCACUGCCGUGCAGACUAAAAAUGAAUAAUAAGUGUAUUUUGGAUAUGACUUCUUUCCAAUGUCAAUGUGAAUGCUUUUCAAUGCAUAGUG